GGGAUCCAUCUGCUUGGAGAUGCUGAUAAAGGCAGGGACUCAGUGACGGAGAGGCCAUGGAGACACACUGAAGGCAUGAGUGCAGAGGUGCCAGGUGAGGGAAGGUUGGAGAGGCACACCAGCACACACAAGGUCAUGAGUGCCAGGGGGUCUGGCAGAUGGGACACAGGGAGCUGCAGACAGGUGACUGCAUUCCAUCACCCUGUGACCCUAGAGCAGGGGCUUCUGGUAAGUGGAGAGAUGGAAGCCAGAUUUCGCAAAAUUAGGAAUGGAAAAGUUUGCCUAUAAUGGGAAGCUAUAGGUAAGACCUUCACUGGAGG
rnacentral:lncRNA from 1 species